AGCUAAUUAUAUUUCUUCUGGCCACAACAUCUUCAUGCCUCCCUUCCUUCUUCCACAUCCAAACAUCUCACAUAUUCUCAGAUCUGAUCUGAGAUAAAGAUAGAGAGAUUAGAGAGAGAGGAAGAAAAGAAGAAGAGUUUUUCUUCUUCUUGGCAUCUUAUUCAGAUCCCAUCAGAUCAACAUGAAGGGUUCGUGCUGCAGGGUUAUCCUUCAAGAUCUAGAAGAAGGAGAUCCAGAUCCAAGCAAAAAGAGAGAGGCCUGCAAGGUGCUAGCACUCUAGUGGCCUCGGCACUCCGAUCAGAUCAUGUUCAUGUGGAUACCUGCAA
rnacentral:lncRNA from 1 species